rnacentral:rRNA from 1 species
AUGGAUGGUGUAAAAGAUCCUAUCAUCUGGAGGGUCAAAUGCAUGGUUGGGCGGGAGCGCCAAAUGGCUUUCUGCUUCAUGCAGAAGUUUCUUCAUCUGCAAAAGUUCGGUACCAAAGUGCCAAUUAUCUCAGCAUUCGCACUUGAUCAUGUGAGAGGAUCUGUUUUUGUUGAAGCUGAGAAGGCUUGUGACGUUACUGAGGCAUGCAAAGGAUUUUGCGAUGUUUAUGUAAACCGAACUAGUACUGUCCCAGUAGCUGAAGUUCGUAGCUUGCUAUCAACUCGUGCAAAACCAUUUGAAGUCUCUCCAGGUACAUGGGUGCGCAUGAAAAGUGGAAACUAUAAAGGAGAUCUAGCACAGGUUGUCAGUGCGGAUGAUGGGCGGAAAAAAGUGCUGAUAAAGCUUAUACCAAGAGUUGAUCUCCAUGCUAUUUCAAAAAAAUUCGGUGGUGCUAUUCCCCUAAAAGGUGCGGCAGUUCCUGCACCGCGACUAAUCAGCUCGCAGGAGCUAGAGUUCUUUGGACCUCAUAUCGAAAGUAAGCGUGAUCGUCAGACUGGUGAUGUUUUUGAAGUGCUUGAUGGUCUGAUGUUCAAAGAUGGUUUCCUGUAUAAGCGAGUUGCACUUAGUUCUUUGAUUUACUGGGGGAUACAACCAACGGAUACCGAGAUUCUCAAGUUCUCUUCUAGUCCAAGCAUUAAAAGUUCUGCCGAUGACAUGGAUUGGGUCUCUGGCAUCUAUGGUCAUAAUAAGAAAAGAAAUGUGCCCAGAGAACCGGAUAUGAAGAAAUCAGCAUCUUCUAAAGACAAAAGCUCCAAGGCAUCAAAUCUUAAAGGUUCCACUUCUACUGAAAACUGUGACGAUGAUGACGAUGAUGCUCAAUUCAACCUCCACGAUCUUGUAACCUUUGGCCGAAAAGAUUUUGGAGUGAUUAUUGCUGUUGAGAAAGAUGGUUUUAAGAUUUUAAAAGGUGGCCCUGAAGGAUCUGCUGUGACAGUUAGAAAGCAAGAUAUUAAGAAAGGAAUUGUAGACAAAAUGUUUACAGCUGUUGACCAUCAGAACAAGUCAAUAUCCAUGAAUGACACUGUUAAAGUUCUGGAAGGACCAGUUCAGGGCAAGCAAGGAGUUGUUAAACACUUGUAUAUGGGAAUACUUUUUAUAUAUGAUGAAAGCGAAAGUGAGAACAAUGGAUUUUUCUGUGCUCAGUGUGGGUCAUGUGAAAAUGUCAAGAAAAGGAGGGACGUGACAAAUUCGGACAACCCUGUUCCCAUGUUCUCGGAGUCAGCUUUCAUAUCAUCCGAGCAAAAUGAACAACGAAAUAAUGAAAGGCCUUACAGGGCACCCAGAGAACAACUCUUCCAAGUCGGAGAGGUGCUGCGUUUUCGAAGGGGUCCUUUGAAGGGUUAUCUCUGCCGUGUAGUUCGGAUAUUUAGAAAUGAUGUAACUGUUAAGCUAGAUUCUCUACUGAAGAUUGUUACAGUGCAAGCAGAGUUUCUCUCAGUCCCAACUAAAAGAGGGGAUAACUCGUCCAGUGCUCCAUCUGGUAACUUUGGAACUCAGGAUACACCAUUCACCGAAGCUGCUAAAACCUCAUGGGACAAUGGAUUUGCAUCUCUUGGCAGUGAUUCUUGGCAACCUUUUUCAAGUUCUGCGUUACCAGCCCAGAAUGCAGAUGGAGAAACAGAAGCUGAUCCCUGGUCUAAGAAACCAACAUCUUCUGCUGAUGGUGAUUCUGAUCCAUGGGGUAACAAAACAACAUCUGCAGCUGUUGAUAUGUGGAACAACAGCACUACACAAAAGGAAAGCUCCACUGACAAUGCCUGGGGUAAAGAAGCCGGAGGUGGUGGAUUUGAUGCUGGUGGCAGCUCUUGGGGUGGAGGAGCAGUCAACAAGGAUAGUGAAAAGAGUGGCAACUGGGGUGAGGCGUGCAAGCAGGUGGACAUGGCAACUGGUGGUGAUACAGAUCCUUGGGGCAGUAAGGUCAAAGAAGUAGUUACGAAAGAAGCAGAUAGCUGGGAGAAGUCAUCAUGGUCACCAGAGAAGAAGUUGGAGGGUGAUGGUCAAGGAUGGGGCCAACCUUUUGGCAAGUCAAACCAAGAUCAAGAAAAAGGCACAGUUCCGAAAGAUGCAGACAAGGGUGGGUCUUGGGAUACCGCUGUUGCUAUUUGUGUUGGCUCAGAUGAUAAUGAUGCCUGGGCUAAAUCUGCUGCUUUGCCUGUUGCUCAAGAUGAUGCUUGGGGGAAGUCAAAAGAGUCGGGCCAAAACAGUGGCUCUGGAGGUUGGGAUACUGUUGCUGUGGGCCAAGGACAAGAUGAAGCAUGGGGCAAUCCAAAAGAUUCAGGUGCCAAGUCUGAAGAAACAAAUAAUGGAAGUGGGAACUGGAACAAAGCUGGCUCAUCAGACCAAGUUGGUGGCAGUGAUUGGGGUAAACCGACUGGCGGUGCUGGUUCAUCAAGCUGGAACAAGGGAGAGGCAGCUGAGGGGGAUAAUCAGAAUAGCACCUGGAGCAGACCUGCUGGAAACUUUGAAGGUGGCCGUGGGUUCGGGCGAGGACGUGGGAGAGGCCGGGGCCGGGAAUCUUGGGAUUCUGGUGACAGAAAUGACGAAGAAAGCUGGAAGGGCUCAUGGCGUAAUGACAGUUCUGCAAAGCCCUCUUGGGGGUCUGAUACACAGGUAGGUAAUGAAGGUGGAGAUUCUGGUGGAUACCGUGGGAGGGGAAGAGGGAGGGGCCAAUAUGGAGGACGAGGGGGAGGAAGAGACAAUGGUUGGAGAAAUGGAGAUCGAGGUAGUUCUGAGUUUGGAAAGGAAAGGAGCAGUAGUGAUACACCAAACUGGGGAAGCAGUCAGCCUUGGAGUGCCAAUGAAGGCACCAAGCCAUGUGAUGAAAAUCAGACUCCCGCUUGGAACUCCUCGGAGGAUAAAAAACUGUCUGGAGGCGAGCAAGGUGAUCCUUGGGCGAGCAAGGUGACUGCCAAAGGCCAAGAACAACAAACUGAUGCUUGGUCAAGCAAGGCUGCAGGUGCUGAGAACAAUGAUGGCUGGAAUACGAAGGCGAAAGAGUCUUCCUGUACCACUGGGGCAAAAUGGGAGGAUGCUGCAUCAGGUGAAAAACAACAAGAUGAUCUGUGGUCAAACAAGACCAGCUCUACUACUAAAGAGCAAGAAACUGAUCCGUGGGCAAGCAAGGUGUCUUCUACUGCAGCAGAGGAAAAAGCUGACCCCUGGAGUACUAAAGGGGGCAAUGGGAAUGAUGGGGGUUGGAACAAUGCUGGCUCGUCUUCUUGGGGCAAACCAAGUUCCUCAAGUGGAGAUCAAGAACCUGCUUGGAACAAGCCAAAAUAUGGUGAUGAUAAUGCUGGAUAUGGUAGGGGUGGAUUUGGACGUGGGAAUCGUGGCAGAGGUAGGGGAAGGUUUGGGGACAGUGGAUCUUCAUGGAAUGGAGGAGGCAACACAAAUGAUGGAUCAGGUGGAGGAAGGUCUGAAGAUCAGUGGAACAGUAGGGAUUCCGAUGGUGGCAGAGGAAGGGGUAGAGGCCGCUUUGGUCGAGGUGAUCGCAAUCAAGGUAACAACUUUGGGUCAGGAGACGGGGAUGGUGGCAGUUGGGGCUCUGGCAGGGGAAACAGAGGCCGUGGUGGUGGUUACAGAAACAAUGGAAAUGACAACAAUGAGGGAAGGGCCUCCAGUCAAGACCGAGGUGGUGGCUGGUCUCACUCUUCGGCCUGGAAUGCUGAUAAAAAGGGAAGCACUGAAGAGGAUCAAUCUUUCUCAAAGGGCAAGUCCAGCUGGGGGAGUGGCAACAACGAUAGCUGGGGAGCUCCAAAACCAUCUGGUGGAGAUGAUCAGGCAGGAAAGAAGGAUGGAAACAACACCUGGAGUCAAAACAAGCCAUUUUCUGGCGAUGGGUCCUCUAUCCUGGGCCAGUGGGCUCCUGCUGGCGGCACCACCGCUGGUACUGGAGGAUCCGCAGGCGGAGGAGGAUCAUGGGGAAAGAGCAAUGAAGAUAGCUGGAAUUCUUCAAAAGGAACUGGAGGCUCAGAAGGUGGUUCGAAGAAGGAAGGAUCCUGGGACAAGGCCGAAGGGGGCGGGAGCCAAGGCGGCGGUGGCGGCAGUUCCUGGGACAAGGCGGCCAGUGGCGGAUGGGACAGCAACAAGGGCGGGGAUGCCGGCAAUGGUGGGGGCAGUGGGUGGUAA